rnacentral:tRNA from 1 species
CAGGCUGUCUAUGAGUUAGUUUUUCAUUUACAUUGAAAGUUUUAGUCGUGCGAUUCGAUUUUGUCUGA